rnacentral:rRNA from 1 species
AGUGAACGCUGGCGGCAGGCCUAACACAUGCAAGUCGAACGGCAGCACGGCAGUAGCAAUACUGUGGGUGGCGAGUGGCGGACGGGUGAGGAAUACAUCGGGAUCUACCCUGUUGUGGGGGAUAACGUAGGGAAACUUACGCUAAUACCGCAUAAGAACUGAGGUUGAAAGCGGCGGACCGCAAGGCGUCGCGCGAUUGGAUGAACCGAUGUCCGAUUAGCUAGUUGGCGGGGUAAAGGCCCACCAAGGCGACGAUCGGUAGCUGGUCUGAGAGGACGACCAGCCACACUGGAACUGAGACACGGUCCAGACUCCUACGGGAGGCAGCAGUGGGGAAUAUUGGACAAUGGGCGCAAGCCUGAUCCAGCCAUGCCGCGUGGGUGAAGAAGGCCUCGGUGUAAGACC